rnacentral:rRNA from 1 species
AUUGAACGCUGGCGGCAGGCCUAACACAUGCAAGUCGAGCGAGCGGCGGACGGGUGAGUAAUGUCUGGGAAACUGCCUGAUGGAUGGGGAUAACUACUGGAAACGGUAGCUAAUACCGCAUACUAUCAGAUGUGCCCAUAUGUGAUUAGCUAGUAGGUGGGGUAACGGCUCACCUAGGCGACGAUCCCUAGCUGGUCUGAGAGGAUGAGCAGCCACACGGGGACUGAGACACGGCCCAGACCGCUACGGUAGGCAGCAGUGGGGAAGAUUGCACAAUGGGCGCAAGCAGGAUGCAGCAAUGCCGCGGGUUUGAAGAAGGCCUUAGGGGUGUAAAGUACGGUCAGCGGGGAGGCGUUACCCGCAGAAGAAGCACCGGCUAACUCCGUGCCAGCCGCCGCGGUAAUAC